rnacentral:rRNA from 1 species
CAGCCGCCGCGGGAAUACGGAGGGGGCUAGCGUUGUUCGGAAUUACUGGGCGUAAAGCGCACGUAGGCGGCUUGGUAAGUUAGAGGUGAAAGCCUGGAGCUCAACUCCAGAAUUGCCUUUAAGACUGCCGAGCUAGCAGGUGAGAGAGGUAAGUGGAAUUCCGAGUGUAGAGGUGAAAUUCGUAGAUAUUCGGAAGAACACCAGUGGCGAAGGCGGCUUACUGGCUCAUACUGGACGCUGAGGUGCGAAAGCGUGGGGAGCAAACAGGAUUAGAUACCCCGGUAGUCCCUGUCUCUUAUAC